AACGAACGCUGGCGGUAUGCUUAACACAUGCAAGUCGAACGGGUGUAGCAAUACAUCAGUGGCAAACGGGCGAGGAAUGUAGAGGAAUCUCCCUAGCAGUAAGGAAUAACUUUGGGAAACCAAAGCUAAUGCCAUAUAUUACCCUCCGGGGGAAAGAUUUAUCGCUGUUAGAUGAGCCUCUAUCGGAUUAGCUAGUUGGUGAGGUAAUGGCUCACCAAGGCAAUGAUCCGUAGCUGGUCUUAGAGGAUGAUCAGCCACACUGGGACUGAGACACGGUCCAGACUCCUACGGGAGGCAGCAGUGGGGAAUAUUGGACAAUGGGCGCAAGCCUGAUCCAGCAAUACCGCGUGAGUGAUGAAGGUCUGCGGAUUGUAAAGCUCUUUUAGUAGGGAAGAUAAUGACGGUACCUACAGAAAAAGCACCGGCAAACUUCGUGCCAGCCGCCGCGGUAA
rnacentral:rRNA from 1 species